rnacentral:rRNA from 1 species
UACGUAGGGUGCGAGCGUUGUCCGGAAUUAUUGGGCGUAAAGGGCUCGUAGGCGGUCUGUCACGUCGGGAGUGAAAACUCGGGGCUUAACCCCGAGCCUGCUUCCGAUACGGGCAGACUAGAGGUAUGCAGGGGAGAACGGAAUUCCUGGUGUAGCGGUGAAAUGCGUAGAUAUCAGGAGGAAUACCGGUGGCGAAAGCGACUCUCUGGACGGCAACUGACGCUGAGGCACGAAAGCGUGGGGAGCAAACAGG